ACGUAGGAGGAAGGUAAGUGCAGUUAACACCUGCAUUAUUUGACGUUACCUACAGAAGAAGCACCGGCUAACUCCGUGCCAGCAGCCGCGGUAAUACGGAGGGUGCGAGCGUUAAUCGGAAUUACUGGGCGUAAAGCGCAUGCAGGCGGCCUGUUAAGUCAGAUGUGAAAGCCCGGGGCUUAACCUCGGAAUUGCAUUUGAAACUGGCAGGCUAGAGUCUUGUAGAGGGGGGUAGGAAUUUCAGGUGUAGCGGUGAAAUGCGUAGAGAUCUGAAGGAAUACCAGUGGCGAAGGCGGCCCCCUGGACAAAGACUGACGCUCAGAUGCGAAAGCGUGGGGAGCAAACAGGAUUAGAUACCCCUGGUAG
rnacentral:rRNA from 1 species